rnacentral:rRNA from 1 species
AACGAACGCUGGCGGCAGGCUUAACACAUGCAAGUCGAGCGCCCCGCCAGGGGAGCGGCAGACGGGUGAGUAACGCGUGGGAACGUACCUUUUGGUUCGGAACAACUCCGGGAAACUGGAGCUAAUACCGGAUAAGCCCUAACGGGGAAAGAUUUAUCGCCGAAAGAUCGGCCCGCGUCUGAUUAGCUAGUUGGUGAGGUAACGGCUCACCAAGGCGACGAUCAGUAGCUGGUCUGAGAGGAUGAUCAGCCACACUGGAACUGAGACACGGCCCAGACUCCUACGGGAGGCAGCAGUGGGGAAUAUUGGACAAUGGGCGCAAGCCUGAUCCAGCCAUGCCGCGUGAGUGAUGAAGGCCUUAGGGUUGUAAAGCUCUUUUGUCCGGGAAGAUAAUGACUGUACCGGAAGAAUAAGCCCCGGCUAACUUCGUG